UUCACUCUGGGACAAGCCCUGGAAACGGGGUCUAAUACCGGAUAAUACUCCUGCCUGCAUGGGCGGGGGUUAAAAGCUCCGGCGGUGAAGGAUGAGCCCGCGGCCUAUCAGCUUGUUGGUGGGGUAAUGGCCCACCAAGGCGACGACGGGUAGCCGGCCUGAGAGGGCGACCGGCCACACUGGGACUGAGACACGGCCCAGACUCCUACGGGAGGCAGCAGUGGGGAAUAUUGCACAAUGGGCGAAAGCCUGAUGCAGCGACGCCGCGUGAGGGAUGACGGCCUUCGGGUUGUAAACCUCUUUCAGCAGGGAAGAAGCGAAAGUGACGGUACCUGCAGAAGAAGCGCCGGCUAACUACGUGCCAGCAGCCGCGGUAAUACGUAGGGCGCAAGCGUUGUCCGGAAUUAUUGGGCGUAAAGAGCUCGUAGGCGGCUUGUCACGUCGGAUGUGAAAGCCCGAGGCUUAACCUCGGGUCUGCAUUCGAUACGGGCUAGCUAGAGUGUGGUAGGGGAGAUCGGAAUUCCUGGUGUAGCGGUGAAAUGCGCAGAUAUCAGGAGGAACACCGGUGGCGAAGGCGGAUCUCUGGGCCAUUACUGACGCUGAGGAGCGAAAGCGUGGGGAGCGAACAGGAUUAGAUACCCUGGUAGUCCACGCCGUAAACGUUGGGAACUAGGUGUUGGCGACAUUCCACGUCGUCGGUGCCGCAGCUAACGCAUUAAGUUCCCCGCCUGGGGAGUACGGCCGCAAGGCUAAAACUCAAAGGAAUUGACGGGGGCCCGCACAAGCAGCGGAGCAUGUGGCUUAAUUCGACGCAACGCGAAGAACCUUACCAAGGCUUGACAUAUACCGGAAAGCAUUAGAGAUAGUGCCCCCCUUGUGGUCGGUAUACAGAGGUGUGCUGGGCUGUCGUCAGCUCGUGUCGUGAGAUGUUGGGUUAAGUCCCGCAACGAGCGCAACCCUUGUCCUGUGUUGCCAGCAUGCCCUUCGGGGUGAUGGGGACUCACAGGAGACCGCCGGGGUCAACUCGGAGGAAGGUGGGGACGACGUCAAGUCAUCAUGCCCCUUAUGUCUUGGGCUGCACACGUGCUACAAUGGCCGGUACAAUGAGCUGCGAUACCGUGAGGUGGAGCGAAUCUCAAAAAGCCGGUCUCAGUUCGGAUUGGGGUCUGCAACUCGACCCCAUGAAGUCGGAGUUGCUAGUAAUCGCAGAUCAGCAUUGCUGCGGUGAAUACGUUCCCGGG
rnacentral:rRNA from 1 species